AGCAGCAAGCUGAGGGAGGAGAAGAGCGGUGGUGGGCGGAGUCCUGCCACCUGCUCUCGCCACCCUUAAAUUCUCCGGGUCUCGAGCUGCGCUGAAAACAGGAAAACGUGACGGCGUGUUUUGCUCGGGAAAGUUCUGAGCCUUCGGUUUUACGUCCCGCCUCCGGCCCAGGGCUAACUUUCCCCACCUGUCCGGGAGGUCAAGGUGACUACCAGUCUUACAAGUGGAGACUCACAAACUUCCAGGGCUGGCGGGUUGCUGAGGUGCCGCACUUGCCUCACGAGCGCAGGACCCGCUCUGUGUCAAGUCCCUAGCUGAUCAGUUGCUGGAGUCGCCCUCCUGCAGCUCCAAUAAUGAAUUGAGGCUCUUCUGUUUAAUGUGAGGCGGAAUACGCUUCCUCUCGCGGGGACUGAACUCGAGCAGCAGAAUCAACCCAAAAGACAAGUUGAACUAUCGUAUUCACAAAGCACAGAGCCUCCGUGCACCAGUUGAAGAGAUACUCUGCAGAGAGGCCACCUAGCUUCUCCCCAGGCCCUGCCUAGCCAAAAAGGACCUGUGAUACCUGUGAACAGAAGCAGAAAGGCUGUUGGUCAGGAGUGCAGGGGAAAGGUGUGCUGGACCAAGUUGGAGGCUGGAAAAAAAUGAUCAUUGAUGGCACCAGGAUACAUGGAGAAAGAGACUGAGUCCUUGCCCUCAGGUUGCUCUAGGAUGGAAGUGGAAGAACAAACUGGUAGUAGGAUUCAAUGUGAUGGAGAUGUGUGAAGCUUCACUGACUGAAGACUUUGGAGCUCCAAAGCUGGUUACUUUUUAAAAUAUUUAACAUUUGACAAGUCCUGAUGGAAUCAAUUAUUUGCCACACCUUGUUUACAAUCAGGUCCCGAAGUUUACAGUGGUGAAUGAGACAGACAUGGUUCCUGCUCUCCUGAAGCAGUGAGGAAGAUCAGAAAACAGAUGAAAGGUUUCUAAAAAUCAUUAAAAUUUAUGAAUCACCAAGUUCAGCCCCCCCCACACAAGAAGAGAUUUAGUCUUCACCUCUUGAAGAAGAGAAUAUCACAGAACUUGCGGACGUAUUUCAAAACCACUAUAGGAGUGGUACCCAUACCUCCCUGGGUGUUUUCUGUUAUAUACAAUCUUUGGAGCAGUCUAACGUCUGCUUUAGUCUUUUAUGUA